rnacentral:rRNA from 1 species
GCGAAAACUUUACAAUGCUGGCAACAGCGAUAAGGGAACCUCGAGUGCCAGGUUACAAAUCUGGCUGUCGAGAUGCCUAAAAGGCAUUUCAUAGCAAGGGCCGGGCAAGACCGGUGCCAGCCGCCGCGGUAACACCGGCGGCUCGAGUGGUAACCGUUAUUAUUGGGUCUAAAGGGUCUGUAGCCGGCCGGAUAAGUCUCUUGAGAAAUCUGGCAGCUUAACUGUCAGGCUUUCAGGAGAUACUGUCUGGCUCGAGGCCGGGAGAGGUGAGAGGUACUUCAGGGGUAGGGGUGAAAUCUUGUAAUCCUUGAAGGACCACCAGUGGCGAAGGCGUCUCACCAGAACGGACCCGACGGCAAGGGACGAAAGCUAGGGGCACGAACC